GACGUAGGGCGCGAGCGUUGUCCGGAUUUAUUGGGCGUAAAGGGUGCGUAGGCGGCGCGGUAAGUCGGGUGUGAAAUCUCGGGGCUUAACUCCGAAACUGCAUUCGAUACUACCGUGCUUGAGGACUGGAGAGGAGACUGGAAUUUACGGUGUAGCGGUGAAAUGCGUAGAUAUCGUAAGGAAGACCAGUGGCGAAGGCGGGUCUCUGGACAGUUCCUGACGCUGAGGCACGAAGGCCAGGGGAGCAAACGGG
rnacentral:rRNA from 1 species